CCUGUAGCAAUACAGGCAACCGGCGAACGGGUGCGUAACACGUGAGCAACCUACCGAACUGUGGGGGAUAGCCGGCCUAACGGCCGAGUAAUACCGCAUACGCUUUCGAUGAGGCAUUUCAUUGAAAGGAAACCUACGGGACAGAUCGAGGGGCUCGCGGCCUAUCAGCUAGUUGGCGAGGUAACGGCUCACCAAGGCGACGACGGGUAGCUGGUCUGAGAGGAUGGCCAGCCACAUUGGGACUGAGAUACGGCCCAGACUCCUACGGGAGGCAGCAGUGGGGAAUCUUGCGCAAUGGCCUAACGGCUGACGCCGCGACGCCGCGUGUGGGAUGAAGCUCUUCGGAGUGUAAACCACUGUUGCCCGGGACGAAUAGCUCGAUUAAUCGAGCCUGACGGUACCGGGUGAGGAAGCACCGGCUAACUCCGUGCCAGCAGCCGCGGUAAUACGGGGGGUGCGAGCGUUGUCCGGAAUCACUGGGCGUAAAGGGCGCGUAGGUGGUUUGAUAAGGGUGUGGUGAAAGUCCGGGGCUCAACCCCGGAUCUGCCGUGCCGACUGUCAAACUCGAGGGCUGUAGAGGCAGACGGAAUUCCGGGUGUAGCGGUGGAAUGCGUAGAGAUCCGGAGGAAGACCGGUGGCGAAGGCGGUCUGCUGGGCAGUUUCUGACACUGAUGCGCGACAGCGUGGGGAGCAAACAGGAUUAGAUACCCUGGUAGUCCACGCCGUAAACGAUGGGUACUAGGUGCCUGGGGGAGCGACCCUCUGGGUGCCGGCGCUAACGCAGGAAGUACCCCGCCUGGGGAGUACGACCGCAAGGUUGAAACUCAAAGGAAUUGAC
rnacentral:rRNA from 1 species